GGACUCGUGGCUUAGCUUGGAUAGAGCAUCUGCCUCCUAAGCAGAGGGUCGGGGGUUCAAAUCCCCCCGAGUCCG
rnacentral:tRNA from 1 species